rnacentral:sRNA from 1 species
CUUGAGUAUAAGCAUUACCUGUGUCAAG